GGGGAUAUAGCUCAGUUGGUAGAGCUCUUGCCUCGCAUACACAAGGCCCUGAGUUCAAUCCUCAGUACCUCCC
rfam:Ictidomys tridecemlineatus contig108953, whole genome shotgun sequence.